rnacentral:lncRNA from 1 species
GGAUAAGAGGAUCUGAGGAAGGACAGGGGUUAGCCAUGCUGAGUGCAGUGGUAUUGGAAUGUGAUUAGUGAUAAGUACUAGAGAGAGCGAAGGGAAAGUGCCCAGGACAAGUCCCCCUGGGUUAGACAACUGUGGGUCUCCACCCAGAGAAUCCAGGACAGGACAACACUGUGAAAUGCAACGAAGAAACCUUUCUGCUACCAGAAUAUUCUCUCAAUCUGAGCAUUCUAUGAGGAAAAAAAAAAGAGAGAGAUCAAUUUGGUAUGUCUUUCAAAAAGGAGCAAAACAAGCUACUUGAGAAUCUAAGAAACAAAAGCUGAAAUCACCAAGAAGCGCCUGCUGUGCUGCAGAAAGGGGCACUUUGUUUCCCAAAGUUUCUGCUUCUUUUUUGGUCAGGAAUCCAUCUUAGAAGUCAGAUGUAAAACGCAGAGUAAACUUUCAGCAUGUUGGAUUGUAGCUCUGAAAACUCUGGCUUUUUCUUGCUUUUAUUCUUUUGUGUUUUUCUGUAGAAAAAAAUAUAAAAAAAUCCAUAGUCCAUAUAUAUCUCCUAUAUGGGAUUUGAAAAUUAUGUAUGAUUAAAGGAUAACUAAAUAAUGCUGUAUAUUGAUUGAGAUGAGUCACAUUAUAACUGGGUAUGACCAAUCUUUAAAAACUUGAUUUAACUCAAAUUUUCCUUUGUUUUUUAAGAUAUAUUUGGGGGGGGCGGGGCUGGAGGGAUGGCUCAGUGGAUAAGUGCACUAGCUGCUCUUCCAUAGGACCCAGGUUCAAUUCCCAGCUCACAACUGUCUGUAACUUCAGUUCCAGAGGAUUCGCACCCUCAUCCCCUCAUGCAGGCAAAACACCAAUGCACAUGAUAUUAAAAAAACAAAAACAAAAACAUAAGAAGUGUCUGUGUAUAUAACUCAUAUCUGUGUGCUGGUGAAGGAGAGAGAAGGCAUUGAAUCCACUGAAGCUGUAGUUACAGCUGAGCCUCCAGAGUGGGUGCUAGAAACCAAACUUAGGUCUUCUGGAAGAGCAGCAGGUGUUCUUAUAGCCAUGUACUGAAAAACUGAUUUUAAACACUGCUGACAGCUAAUGUUAUGAUAGCUACUUGAAUCUGACAAUCCUUGGAGAGUUAAAGUUUGAAUUACUUUUUAUGAGCAAUCAUUUGCUUAUUGUAAUGUCUAUGAAUGUACAUGCCUAUUACGCUUUAAAAUAUUUGAGAAGAUAUGAAUUUUAGGACUACUUAAAACCACAUAAAAUGAGCAGCCUGGGACAGGAACCUUCAGUUUCCAUCUGUGCCUGGAGCUGAUCCUGUGCUACAGCUCUCCACACCAAAAUACUGCCAGGAGAGAGCUGGUCUCCCAGAAGUGCUAGUACGUUUGUGAGUACAGGUAAGCUCGCCACUUCUGCUCUGAGGGGCCCGCCCGGAGACCUCAGGACACAGGAACUGAGGAGGAGCCUGUGACAGGAUCCUUCUGAUUUUCUUUGGCUCCCGGAGCUGAUCCUAUGCCACAGCUCUCAAGACCCAAAUUCAUCCCGGAGAGAAAUGGUCUCCCAGGAAUACUGACACAGAGGCUUGCAGGAGGGACAAGCCACAGUCAGACCCAGGAAGACAAACUAACACCAGAGAUAACCAGAUGGCGAGAGGCAAGGGCAAGAACACAAGCAACAGAAACCAAGGCUACUUGGCAUCAUCAGAAGCCAGUUCUCCCACCACAGCAUCCCUGGAUACCCCAACACACCAGAAAAGCAAGACUCUGAUUUAAAAUCACAUCUCAUGAUGUUGAUAGAGGACUUUAAGAAGGACAUAAAAAACUCCCUUAAAGGAGUAUAGGAGAACACAGGUAAGCAGCUAGAAGCCCUUAAAAAGAAAAAUCCCUUAAAGAAUCACAGGAAAAAACAACCAAACAGGUGAAGGAACUGAACAAAACCAUCCAGGACCUAAAAAUGGAAAUAGAAUCAAUAAAGAAAUCACAAAGGGAGACAACCCUGGGCAUAGAAAACAUAGGAAAAAGAUCAGGAUUCAUAGACACAAGCAUCCCCAAAGAAUAUAAGAGAUAGAAGAGAGAAUCUCAGGGGCAGAUGAUAGCAUAGAAAACAUUGACACAACAGUCAAAGAAAAUGCAAAAUGCAAAAAGCUUGAUCCCAAAACAUCCAGGAAAUCCAGGACACAAUGAAAAGACAAAACCUAAGGAUAAUAGGUAUAGAAGAGAGCAAAGAUUCCCAAUUUAAAGGGCUAGUCAAUAUCUUCCACAAAAUUAUAGAAGAAAACUUCCCGAACCUAAAGAAAGAGAUGCUCAUAAUCAUACAACAAGCCUACAGAACUCCAAAUAGAUUGGACCUUGGACCAGAAAAGAAAUUCCUCCUGUCUUGUCAUAGUUAAAAUACCAAAUGCACAAAACAAAGAAAGAAUAUUAAAAGCAGUAAAUGAAAUAAAUUGUAAAGACAGACCUAUCAGAAUUACACCAAUUACUUCUCACCAGAGACUCUUAAAGCCAGAAGAUCCUGGGCAGAUGUUAUAUAGACCCUAAGAGAACACAAAUGCCAGCUCAGUCUUCUAUACCCAGCAAAACUCUCAAUUACCAUAGAUAGAAAAACCAAGAUAUUCCAUAAUGAUACCAAAUUUACACACUAUCUUUCCACAAAUCUAGCUCUAGAAAGGAUAAUAAACAGAAAACACCAACACAAGGAGGGAAACUACACCCUAGAAAAAGCUAGAAAGUAAUCUUUCAACAAACCUAAAAGAAGAUAGUCACACAAACAUAAUUCCACCUCUAACAACAAAAAUAGCAGGAGGUAGCAAUCACUAUUCGUUAAUAUCUCUUAGCAUCAGUGGACUCAAUUUCCC